UACGUAGGUGGCAAGCGUUGUCCGGAUUUACUGGGCGUAAAGGGCGUGCAGGCGGUUUGUUAAGUGCAGGGUGAAAGCUCCCGGCUCAACUGGGAGAGGUCCUUGCAUACUGGCAAACUCGAGGGAGGCAGAGGAAAGUGGAAUUCCCGGUGUAGUGGUGAUAUGCGUAGAUAUCAGGAGGAACACCGGUGGCGAAGGCGGGUCUCUGGGCAGUAACUGACGCUGAGGAGCGAAAGCGUGGGGAGCGAACAGG
rnacentral:rRNA from 1 species